rnacentral:rRNA from 1 species
AUUGAACGCUGGCGGCAGGCCUAACACAUGCAAGUCGAGCGAGCGGCGGACGGGUGAGUAAUGUAUGGGGACUGCCCGAUAGAGGGGGAUAACUACUGGAAACGGUGGCUAAUACCGCAUACUGUCGGAUAACCCAUAUGGGAUUAGCUAGUAGGUAAGGUAAUGGCUUACCUAGGCGACGAUCCCUAGCUGGUCUCAGAGGAUGAUCAGCCCCCAUGGGAAGAAGAAACGGCCCAGGCUCCCCCAGAAGCACCACUACAAAAUAUUACACAAUGUACGCAAGCCUGAUUCAGCCAUGCCGCGUGUAUGAAGAAUUCCCUAGUGUUAUAACGUACUUUCAGUCGGGAGGCGUUACCGACAGAAGAAGCACCGGCUAACUCCGUGCCAGCAGCCGCGGUAAUUC